ensembl:lncRNA
UGUGGAUUUACCCACUUGGUCAGCAGUGCAGUUUCCAGCACAGAGACAAAGAAGUGUAAUGUGUGUGUCAGUGUGAUGUGUUGUAGCUUCAGGCGUCAAUAUACAGCCAGGGACGUAUCUACAGAGGUGGUGUAGGAGCCAUAUGAUUUGCUCUUUUUUGACUAAGUGGGUUGGUUUAAAUGGACUCACUGUAUAGGGCUUUGGAGCGUGAUGUCACUGGAGGUGGGCCACGCCCCUUUCCGCCAUGACAGUAGGCUAGACACAGCUAUGGUUCGUACGUGUUGUGUUAUCAGUUGCAACGUUUGAUCACACAAUCGUGAAGGCAAGAAGCUGGAUAAUGGGCUCUCUUUUCAUCGUUUUUCAACCUGGAGGCAACGUGAAGGAUCCCAUGUAUCCGAUAUUACUAAACAAAGACGUCAGGCUUGCAUUGCAGCGGUGAGACGAGCGGAUCGAGUUCUGUGCAAUCCCCAGCUUUUUGUUGGUUUGGUCUCCGCAUCUUCUUUCCGGCUUUGUCCUAUCCCGAUCUUUGCAUACCUUGUCUGUGGAGUCAGCGCAUACACAGCAAACCAGUUUAAGAAUUAUAAAUCCCUGGAGGCCCACAUCCAAUUCACGAACGGCUGGGUGCAAGAUUUGUCCAUCUUUAUGCCUCCACGCUGCGACAACUGUACGUUGUCGUUAAGACAAAGGUACUGCACUCACAACGACUGAAUGAAACUGCACUGUGACCUCGUUGUGUGGACACAGAGAGACCUGUCAUACGCAUCUUCCCUGAUGUGGAUUUCUGGGAACCACGUUUAAAGCAAGCACAAGACUUCUUUCUUAAAGUGUGUCUUCCUGAACUUGUUGGGAAAUACUUCUCCAAACAACGUGCUGCUCUAAAUAGCCUGUGUUUCAUUUUGUGGUUCAAGAUUGAUGCCAGCUGUGUGUUGCCAUGUAAAUAGUUUGCAUUUCAUUUUUAUGUACUUGCUAAGUACAUGUGAUAAGAUCAAGAAUAAAAAAAAAACAUGUAUACUA